AGAGUUUCAUUUUGGCUCAGAUUGAACGCUGGCGGAAUGCUUUACACAUGCAAGUCGAACGAUGAACCUUAGCUUGCUAAGGGGAUUAGUGGCGAACGGGUGAGUAAUAUAUCGGAACGUGCCUUGUAAUGGGGGAUAACUAGUCGAAAGAUUAGCUAAUACCGCAUACGCCCUGAGGGGGAAAGUAGGGGAUCUUCGGACCUUACGUUAUAAGAGCGGCCGAUAUCUGAUUAGCUAGUUGGUGGGGUAAUGGCCUACCAAGGCGACGAUCAGUAGCUGGUCUGAGAGGACGACCAGCCACACUGGAACUGAGACACGGUCCAGACUCCUACGGGAGGCAGCAGUGGGGAAUUUUGGACAAUGGGCGCAAGCCUGAUCCAGCCAUUCCGCGUGAGUGAAGAAGGCCUUCGGGUUGUAAAGCUCUUUCGCAAGGGAAGAAAACUUACUUUCUAAUAAAGAGUGAGGCUGACGGUACCUUGAUAAGAAGCACCGGCUAACUACGUGCCAGCAGCCGCGGUAAUACGUAGGGUGCGAGCGUUAAUCGGAAUUACUGGGCGUAAAGCGUGCGCAGGCGGUUUGGCAAGUCAGAUGUGAAAUCCCCGAGCUCAACUUGGGAACUGCGUUUGAAACUGCCAGACUAGAAUAUGUCAGAGGGGGGUAGAAUUCCACGUGUAGCAGUGAAAUGCGUAGAGAUGUGGAGGAAUACCAAUGGCGAAGGCAGCCCCCUGGGAUAAUAUUGACGCUCAUGCACGAAAGCGUGGGGAGCAAACAAAAGUAGAUACCCUGGUAGUCCACGCCCUAAAC
rnacentral:rRNA from 1 species